AACAAUCAUUAAAGAUAGUAGGAGAGUUUUCCGAAAGAAAUACGGGGUGCAGUUUCUCCUAGAUACGCUUAGGAUUUAUUAUGGGAGUGGAUGUAAAUAUAAUGAGUUAUCUCUAGAUGAUAUUCGAACAAUAAGAAAUUCUUUGUAUGGAUUAAUUAAGUAUUUUCUGUGUAAAGGGGGAACUCAUGAAGAGAUACAAAGUAUUAUGGGUUACAUAGCUGCUACAAAUGAAGAAGAACAGCUUUUUGGAAUUUUGGAUGUACUCUGUGUUCUCCUACGUACCAGCCCAACAAGAGGGCAACUUUUCUUACUGCUGUUUGAACCAGGAAAUGCUGACAUCCUUUAUGCCUUACUCUUAAAUCAGAAGUACUCUGAUAAACUACGGGAAAUUGUUUUUAAGGUUAUGGAACAGAUGUUGAAAUGCACAAAUGUUUAUGAACGUAGUAAACAGCGAAUUCGACUCAGAGAAGUUGGCUACUCAGGAUUGGGACUCCUCCUUAAUGAAGCAUCCAUUAACACUUCUCUCAUUAAAAACCUUACCAAUCAGAUCAUAAAUACAGACCCUGUUAUUAGUUUCAAAGAUCUGUUAUCUGUGAUAUAUAUAUCUUACAGAACACACAUAAAUGUCAAAGUGGCCCUCUGCAGAAAGAUUUUACACAUUGUACAGUCCCAACCAGAUGCAGCAUAUCAGAUAUCACAACAAGUGGGUUGGCAAGACACAUUGGUUAGACUUUUUUUAAAAGCAGGUUUUGAAAAUGGAAAUUCUCUUCAUAAGCAUAGUAGAGCUGCUUUAAUGAAAGAAAUCAAUAAGAAUACAUCAAUUGAAGAUACUAAGAGGAACUUCGAUGAAAAGACAGAAGAGGGAAAAAAUGACUUGUUCUUAUCAACUAAUGUCUCUUCCGAUCAGUGGAGUUGGGAAGAUAGACAAUCUCUGGACUCAAACAUGAUCUUAAUUCAAGAAGAUAGCUCUGUGGGAGAGUUGACUUUCCACUCUGAGAAUCAAGAACUCUUGGAGAGUAACCUGUCACGUUUGACUUUGGAUCUCAGUGGAGUGGACACUUGUGAACUGAGUGACAGUGGCAGCCACAUGCCAGACAGCCUACCUAGCACACCGUCCCCAGUGGAGACCAAGUCUUUUUCUGCUCCAUCUGACAAAGAAGGCAGCAUCAGUGAUAUGGGCUUUAGUGAUGACUUCUCUUUGCUUGAAAGCCAAGAGAGAUCUGAGGAGGAGCUUCUUCAGUUGCUGACAGAUAUUUUGAAUUAUGUAAUGUACAAGGGACUAGAAAAGUCUGAUGAUGAGUCUUGGAUUGAACGGGGACAAGUGUUUUCAGCACUAACGAAACCAGGAAUAUCCAGUGAGCUACUUAGACCAUCAGAUGAAAUAAAACUAACUUUGCUACAGAAGAUGUUAGAAUGGGCACUCACAGAAAACAGAGAGGCAAAACCGAAUCCCGUUUCUGCUGAAAAUGCCUUCCGACUCAUACUCAUCAUACAGGACUUCCUGCACUCAGAGGGAUUAGUUAAUUCAAACAUGUGGACUGAGAAGCUUUUAGAGGAUAUCAUGCUACUCUUCGAAUGUCUAUCAGUCUGCUAUUGUGAAAGUUCAGUGUGGGUAAAACUUUCUCAAAUUCAGAUCCAGUUGCUCCUAGGAUUCAUUGAAAGCGGCAAUUUGCAGGUUUGUGCAGUGGCAUCAGCCAGGCUGAAUACCCUUCUUCAGACCAAAGUGAUUGAAAGCCAGGAGGAAGCCUGCUACAUUUUAGGGAAACUGGAACAUGUUCUCAGUCAGUCAAUCAAAGAGCAGACUGAAACUUACUCAUUUCUGAUUCCCCUUGUCCGUACUCUGGUGUCCAAAAUUUAUGAACUUCUCUUCAUGAACUUGCACCUGCCUUCUUUACCUUUUUCCAAUGGUAGCUCCUCAUUUUUUGAAGAUUUUCAGGAAUAUUGCAGGUCACAUGAAUGGCAAGUUUACAUUGAAAAAUACAUUGUUCCUUAUAUGAAGCAAUAUGAAACUCAUACAUUUUAUGAUGGGCAUGAGAAUAUGGCCCUGUAUUGGAAGAAUUGUUAUGAAUCCUUAAUGGUGAACAUGCAUAAGCGAGACCGGGAAGGAGGGGAAAGCAAGCUCAAAUUUCAGGUAAAAAUGCUUUUGUUUUAUUUUGUGUUGCAGUGCUAGGGAUCAAACCCAGGGCCUUGUGCGUG
ensembl:lincRNA